UACGUAGGGGGCUAGCGUUGUCCGGAAUCAUUGGGCGUAAAGAGCGUGUAGGCGGCCCGGUAAGUCCGCUGUGAAAGUCGGGGGCUCAACCCUCGAAUGCCGGUGGAUACUGUCGGGCUAGAGUGCGGAAGAGGCGAGUGGAAUUCCUGGUGUACGCGGUGAAAUGCGCAGAUAUCAGGAGGAACACCGAUUGCGAAGGCAGCUCGCUGGGACGUAACUGGACGCCUGGAGACGCGAAAGCGUGGGGGAGCAAACAGG
rnacentral:rRNA from 1 species